rnacentral:rRNA from 1 species
GAACGCGAAGAACCUUACCUAGGUUUGACAUCCCUCGAACCCUCCUGAAAGGGAGGGGUGCCCUUCGGGGAGCGGGGUGACAGGUGCUGCAUGGCUGUCGUCAGCUCGUGCCGUGAGGUGUUGGGUUAAGUCCCGCAACGAGCGCAACCCUUGUCCUUAGUUGCCAGCGAGUAAUGUCGGGCACUCUAGGGAGACCGCCUCGGUCAACGGGGAGGAAGGUGGGGACGACGUCAAGUCAUCAUGGCCCUUACGCCUAGGGCUACACACGUACUACAAUGGCGGAUACAAAGGGUAGCGAAGCCGCAAGGUGAAGCCAAUCUCAAAAAAUCCGUCCCAGUCCGGAUCGGGGUCUGCAACUCGACCCCGUGAAGUCGGAAUCGCUAGUAAUCGGAGAUCAGCAUGCUCCGGUGAAUACGUUCCCGGGUCUUGUACACACCG